CCUACGGGAGGCAGCAGUGGGGAAUAUUGCACAAUGGGGGAAACCCUGAUGCAGCGACGCCGCGUGAGUGAAGAAGUAUUUCGGUAUGUAAAGCUCUAUCAGCAGGAACGAGACAAGACGGUACCUGACUAAGACGCCCCGGCUAACUACGUGCCAGCAGCCGCGGUAAUACGUAGGGGGCAAGCGUUAUCCGGAAUCACUGGGUGUAAAGGGAGCGUAGACGGCUGUGCAAGCCUGAAGUGAAAGGCGGGGGACCAACCCCUGGACUGCUUUGGGAACUGUACGGCUGGAGUGCAGGAGAGGUAAGUGGAAUUCCUAGUGUAGCGGUGAAAUGCGUAGAUAUUAGGAGGAACACCAGUGGCGAAGGCGGCUUACUGGACUGUAACUGACGUUGAGGCUCGAAAGCGUGGGGAGCAAACAGGAUUAGAUACCCCUGUAGUC
rnacentral:rRNA from 1 species